AAAGAACAUAUAUAUAUAUAUAUUAAGUUUGGGGGACUGAAACUAAGAGGAAAUAGAAAAGGAUGGGAAGUCUGGAGAAAACAAUCAAAACAGUCAAGGAUCAAGAAAAGGAAAGCGUAAGAGGAAAUAGAGGCAAUAAGAAAUGUUAAAGAUAAAAACAAUAAAUCUGUGAAUAUAGCCUGAAACAUUCCAGAAAAGAGUAAUGAGAAACAACCUGCACUUCCAUUUGGUAUAAGGCGUUUUUACACUUUAAAAAAGCUGCUAUUUAACUGUGACUUACUCAGAAAUAAACACAUCAGUGGGUCAGAAUAUAAAGUUGAGAAAUUCUUAAAAUUUUAUAUUAUUGAAAUAGUCAUUAAAUUAGUGGGGAAGAAUGGAUUAUAGUUUUUUUUAAAAAGCUCCAAUCAGAGUAAUUUAAAAGAAGCUCUUAAGAAACCCAAGAUAUUAUGUCAUGGAAACCAAAGGACUGAUAUUUUGAAAUAGCACGCUCACAUGGGUAUUUAAGAAAACUGCAUGGGUAGGUCACAACAGGCAUAAGUGAUGUCAUAAUAGCAGACUAGAAAGAACACAGAUUUUACUUGUUCUUAGCAUAGUUUCUCUAAUCAGGCAGAACAAAAACCUAAAGGAAGAAAACAGAAAAUAUGAUUUAAAAUAUGAAGCAAUGUGCCAAUGACUAGACACCUGGGCAAAUAAUCAGGUCAGUGAGCACUCCUAUUUCAAUGAACUUCUUGCUUUUCCUAGUCCGCACAUAAGAAGGGUAAAAACAAGAUUAUAAACCAGAAGAUUCUUACAGGUAGGAAGGUUUGCUUUGACAUAAAAUAUUCACUGUAUUACGCAAAAACACUUGCCACUUGAAUGAAUUAAACCAAGAAACUCCCCAUACACACAGACAGAAACUGUAGAAGUGCACAAAUUUGCCAUGUAUAUCCCUGGAAUUCUAGAACAUACGAAGUCAGCACUUAAGAAGCACCUGAUAAAUGAAAGAAUAACAAAAAGGCCCAAAGAAACACGAGGAAAAUGCGACCUAAUGAUGGAAAAGCACAGCAAUGAUCGUCAACAUAUAUUAACAGGUCCUGCAAAUUUUAGAAGCCAGCCUGGAUACCUACAACCGAACUUCAAAUCAGUCAAUUCUCAUGAACCAACUCGGUAUGAAACCUACAACAGCACGAGUUCACUAAGUACUCAACAGAUGAAUGAAACGUAUGGCCAAAAGGACUGAAAAAAAGGUGAAACCUCGGGGAAGGGAGCCCACCAAAGGACCCUCCAGGCAGGUGUAGACAUUUGGCUGCAAAAUCUGUGAGAGGAACCUGAGAAGUGAUGCUUGUGCCAGUUGAUUUAUUGUACUCAACUCCAAAUUCACCCUUUUUGACUGCACUAUGAAAAUGGAUCUGGGCCUUUUUAAGCAUCUCAUGUCUUCUGCUGGAAGAUCCUGAAACUACUCACCUACUUAAGAGAAUCUCCACAUUGUUGGCAUAAUCUUCACCUCUCUGUUCCUUUCCUCCCAUGAAAGGAAGUUGAGAGAAAGGAUGAGUCAAGUAACAUAAGAAACUGCUGAGAAGAGAUAAGCAAACUGAGGCACUGUCUUUACUAACUUGCCCAAAUCCACACAGUUAGGUAGCAGAGCUGGUAUUUGAUCCAUCUGGCUCCAGUGUCUGGUGCUUAACCACUCUGCUGUGCUAGCCACCAGAAACUUAGUGGGGGGAAGAAUAUGGACUGAUAUCUGCUUAUACUCUCCCCACUUCCCAGGAUAACCUAGACAGGCACCGUUGCCCUCUGUGCUGGCCUCACCCUCUGACCGGCUUCCCUUGAGGCAGCAAGAUGGCUGCAGACCAAAGCCUCAUAUCUACAUACCACCAUAUCCCGUGGAAUAAUAACAACAAUGACAACAAUGGAAGCAACAGCGGCUACUAUAUGUUGAUCUGUGUGUCAGGUGGGAAGAGGUCCAGAGUCACCCAAGUGGGUUCAGACCCGGAACCAAUUAUCCAGGUACUCAGAGCCUGAAAACAGUGUUUGCACAGGAACAAUCAUGUUUAAGUUAACAUCAAGGACAGCCUUAGAAGAAAAAUGUGGGCAAUAAUUGACUUUAAAGAAAAGAAGCUGAAGAUCAAGACUUGGAAAGAGUAGCACGUUUCUUAGUGAAGAAACAGCCAAGAAAAUUACUGCUCUCCUAGCUCAAUGAGAAGCAUUAAUUAAAGCCACAAGUACAAGCAUGAAACAAAUUUCCACCAAGAACCUCUGCAGUGUGUGUUGGGGAAAAGAAAUACAUGGAACUAGGAAGAAGUCUCCAACUAUGAUCACAUUUGGAUUUUCUCAGAAUACCUUGUAAGAGGGGGAUGUUUCUCAGCUCUGUGCCAAAAACUCAGAACCUGGAGGUGGGGAGACUAGAGAGACUGAAUCUUGGUCCCCCCACCCGCAGUAAUAUUCAUUUCAGCUGUUUCAGCUUCCCAGCCUACAGUACAAGGAAGAAACCAAAGUUACCAUGACAAUUUCUAAACUGUUAGCAAAACCAAUAGUCUACUACAGGGUGGGGGAGAAUGAAGAUCUUCAUCGCCUCUUCCCAUUCAUGAGCGUAAUCACUAAGCCUAUCAGUUUGCUAGAGGAGACAAUCAGUAAUGAACUCAUUACAGAAAUAAACUUAGCAAUCCAGUGGAAAUGGGCAAAGAAGAUGAGCUGAGAGUUCACGUGCACUCAAAAAGCAAAUGGCUGUUAAACACAUGAAAAGAAACUAGAUCUCUCUAAUAGAGAAGAAAGGACAAAAUAAAAUAAAAGUGCAGUGAGAUAUCAUUUUCAUGUGGCAGACUGAGCAAGACCCAAAAGUUUUGUGGUUCCUUGGAUGGAUGAGGGUGAACAGACUGUUGUUGAUGGGGAUGGAAAUUGAUAGAAUAUUUCGGAAGUCUAUUUGGAAAUAUCUACCAAAAUGUAAAGAGAAUACAGCAAAAUUCAUAAUGCACACACAUGUCUAGGACUUUUCUUAAAGCUAUAAUCACCCUAAUGUGCAAAACCAUAUGUACGAAGAUUAUUUAUUACAGCACUGAAUACUGUUUGUAAUAACAAAAUAAUGCAGACAAUCUUAACAUCUGACAAUAGUAAAAUGCUCAAAUAAACUAAAUGCCUGUACAAUAGAAUAUCAUGCAGUCAUUAAGGAGAGGGUGGUUCUGAUAUGGACUAUUGUCAAGAUAUUUUGUUAAAUUACAUAAAAUAGAUACAGGAAAGUGUGCAGAUUUUCUGCCACCCUCCCCCAUUCACUGUCCUCCAGCCAUCCUGGCCUUUCUGUUUCUCAAGUAUGCCAAGCUCAUUUCAGCCUCAAGGCCUUUGUACUUGCUCUUCCUUCUGUCUGGAAUGUCUUCCCAAUUUUCACAUAGCUGGUGUCUGUUCAUCUUUCAGGUCUUAGUGCAAAUUCCUCCUCCUUAGACAGACCUUCUGACUACUAGCAGCCAUAUCUUACUGAAAGAAUCAGCCUGUUUUGCUUGAAACUGUGUGAUAUUACUAAUGCGUUUGUGAAGUAGAGUCCAUAAUAGCUAGAGUGCCCCACCUGUCACUUGUGUGAUUUUCUUCACAGGACUUAGCACUACUUGGAAACAUUUCAUUUUAAAAAUCAUUUUACAUGUUUAUUACUAACCCUUCCAUACACUCCAACUUAUUAGGAUUUAAGGCCCAUAAGGACAGGAAUUUUGUCCUGUUCAUCCCUAUGCCUCCAAUAUUUAGAGUGGCGCCAAAUACAGAGUAAACUCUCAAUAAAAGUUGAAUAAAUGAGUGAAUAAAGGAGAUACCCAUAUAUGCAAAAAAUAUUUCUAGAAAGUACCCAAGGAAAUCUUAGGCUGGUUCUUCAAGGGAAGGAACAGGAAGAAAACUCUUGUUCUGGUUUCAGUGUGCGAGAGAAACCAGGUGAGUGAGACACCGUGACUGACCUAGGUCUGCUCUAUAGGCAAGGAGAUGUUUCUUUGCCCUUGCGGGGCCAUCAGGAUAAGGCCUAAUAGCCUUCAGUUCAUAGUCAUACAGGAAUUGCAUACCUGCUGUGAAAGCAGAGUUGUUAUCUCACAUUGAAAGUCAAGGAAUAUUUAGACGCCAUUUCUCAGCUCCAAGCCCACCUUCUGUCCUGGUAGACUGGGAUUACUCAAACUACAUCCCCAAGACUCCCUUGCCUUAUGGCUUUCUAUUAGGUUCUAUCAAUGGAAAUCACAAGACAAAUACUCGAAGUAGUAAGCAGGGGAGGAGGAGCUUAUUUCCUAUUUUCUAUUUCUUGUUGGCAAUCUUCACUAAUAGCCCACAGUUGGCUACAACUUCCACCUUUUUCCAGCACUCGCAGUUCCAUUCUUACCAAGCUGCCUGGUAGCAGCCAAGCUGAGACCCUUGGCAGCCCUAGUAGGAGGUAAACUGCAUUCCCUUACCAAAUGUGCUGCUCCCUUGAGCCCUGGGAGACCCCACUAGGCCCUGCCCCUUCUCAGAGGGUUAGGCACCAACUGCAUGGAGUCCCUUCCCAGAAGCCCAAGCACUAGUUCUGUAGGGGCUGUUCUCCCAGCUCAUAGGUUCUGGUUAGAGGCCUCUUCCCCAUGUUCUCCAGGCUUGGGAGUGGUAGCUGCUUCCUACUGUCAUUAAUCUCUGGGUGCCUCAGCAUCCUCUUUUUGCUCUUUUAGCCUUCCAACUUAUGCAUAACCAAUUCCCUGUAAUUCGAACUAUUAUGGUUUCUAUUUUCCUUCCUGGAACAUCACCAAUGCAGUGCUUGUUCUGGGCUUUCUUCUCUAGGUCUAUGUUAUUCCCCUGGGUGAUCUUCAUUUAUCUUGAUCCAUUUAUACCCCUUAAGACAUAUAUCCAACUUCCUAUUUGCUAUUUACAUCUUAAAGUCUAAUAGACACCUCAAAUUUAUCUUGUCAAAAAAUGAACUCAUGUUGUACCAAUCUAUUCCUCUGCCAGAAUUUCCCAUCUCAGUAAAUUCAUUCAUUUGUUUGAUCCAAAUCCUCUAUCUAUUCAUUUGUUCAAUCCAAAACCCUAGCAGUCAUUCUUGCUUCCUAUCCUUCCUUGGUUAUUCAUAUUCAGUAUAUCAAUAUGUCAUGUUGGUUUCAUCUCCGAAACUAGACAUCCGUCUCCUCCUUUCCAUCUCUUACGUCAUUCUGCAGUCUACGUCAUCAUUAUCUAUCACUUUGGCUAUUACAGUUGUCUUCUAAGUGGUCUCCAUCUUUCAACUCUAGCCUUUCUAGAGCUGUUUUUCUACCUCAUAGCCAUAAUAAUAUUUAAAAAUGUAAGUUACAAUGAAAGUUAAAUCCAAACUCUUUAUCAUAGCCCUGUGAGAGUCCUGCUGGCACUUCCAACCUCAUCUGCUAUCACAGUCUGUUUGCACUAACUGUGCUCUAGACUCAGAGGCCUCUUCUUUGUCUCAUGCCACAUCAAGCUCUAUACAGACUGAAGUCCUUUAAAUUCACUGCUUCUUCUACAAGGAAUCUUCUUCUACUGGUUGUUCACAUGGUCUUAGUUUUCAUGUCAUAUCCUCAGGGAGGCGUUUCCUGACCACCAAAUCUAAAGUAGCCUUCCUCCCCUAAUUCCUCUCUAUUACAGAGUCCAAUUUACCUCCUUCAUACUCUUAUCUUGAUUACUUGUCCUUUCCUUUGUUUCCUGUCUAAAUACAUGGGAGGGGCCUUGCUAUUUAAUAUCACCUCCCUAGCACCUGAACACUCUCUAUUCCCUAAAAAGUGCUCAGUAAUAUUUGCUGACUGAAUGAAUGAAUGCUUUUAGUAUGCUCUUGUUUAAAGUACUCCAACAUUCAAGUCCUUAUGCACUUUCAAAUAUAUAAAAUUUUCCACUACACUGGAAAAUCUAUAGAAUUAGAUUUUUCUCCCAUCUACUCUCCUUUCCUAUCACACUUCCUAGGAAAUUUCUUGAGGAAAAGCAGCUUAUAAGAUCAAGACUUGAUGACAUAGCUAGCAUUUUCUUUGGAAAAAUAAUACAUAAAUGUAAGUCAAAGAUGCAGAUACACCAGAAUCUACGAGAUUUUCACAACAGCGAGAUUCAUGGCCUUUAAAAAUAUGUAGAACAAGAUGGAACAAAUGUUUUCAGUAGAUGUUCAGGUGCUCUUUUCUAAAAAUAACAUACGUAACCACAAAUCAAUGUUUAAAACCAGAUGGUUAAUGAAGGCCAGCCAGAAAACUCCUCUAAUUCACAGUAAUGAGUAUGGUAAUGAGCUCCCAUUAUAAACCAAACUGCAGCGUGACACACUGUAUCUAUUUCAAAUAAUAGUAAUUUGAUUGUUACAUAUUUUUCAAAGCUCCAAAGCUUAAUUUAUGGAGAAAAAUGUUUAAAAGCCUGAUUGAUGGAGUUAAUCAUGCCCAUUUAGUCAAAUGAAAAGUGGCUUACAUUUUAUUAACAAGACCUGUUCAAAUGUCAGAUGUCAUCAGAAGGAAAACAAUAUUCAAACCCAAAUAAAAGUUAAGAUCUUUCAAAACAUGAAAGAAGUCCCAUUACUAUGGUUGAAAAGAAUAUUUUUCCCUCAACUCUUUGAUGUCUUUACUUUUCAAAUAGGACCCUAAGAAAGGCGUGUUCUAUUGAACAAAAUGCUUCAGGGACUCUGCCAUGAUGGAAAAAUGCCAGGGAUUGAAUUUUAUUUUAGUAUCAAAAGCAAACAUUUAUUUUUACAUGUAAAGUUCACCUUGAUCUCGGAGAGGUAGUCUGAAAAGGCAUUCCCAGUUACCCAAAGUGAUAUGGGCAGGAGCACAUUGCAUGUGGAAACCACUGAAUGUGAUUACAUGGAGCCACUCUGCUUUUGGGAGACACGUCACACUGGGCCACCUUCUGUAAAAGGAUAGAAUACUUUAGGCUGAAUAUCAAGAAAGCAAGGACUUCCAUACUCAUCAUCAUUUUCAUCUACUGUGAAGUUGGCUGCUCACACGUUGUAUGUUUGGAGUACAAGCCAUUAAAAUUGAUGUGUAUGUUUGAUGCUGCAUAUUUUUGUUAUUUUUAUUAAACUAUUAUUUGCUCUUAGGCACCACACUUUUCCCUAAAAUGUGACGAGAUUAUAGAUAGACAUGGUUGGACGAAUUCUGAUCUUCUACAAGAUUUCUGAAUAGACCUCAGUUAUAUUUACUGAGGACCGGAGGUUUAUUUUCUAAAGUGUGUAAGACAGAGGGGUCUCUGGUCUGGGAGCAAAAAGACAAAAUUUAAGGUGUGAAUACUAUAUUGAAAAUUGGAGAAUUAAGAAAAUUUAGCCAUUUUCUCCCACCCAGCUCCCCAUAUGCUGGUAGCCAGGCCUUCACCAUGCAAGAAAGAAAUUAAAGGUCUCUGGAAAAUACUACCAAAUCAAGAGGAAGUUCUAAAGAUGCUGACAUUAGAAAUUUCUCAGGUAAAUAGCCCAACCUGAUCACCCUACAAAGAAAUUCACAAUCUAUAAAGCCCACUAAUGCACUCAAAGUGGCCACUGACAUAAAGUGCUAGAAAAUAUGAAAAGACAACAUAUAUCAAAUAUGAGAAGACUAAUAAUAAAUAUGCAUAUAUAAUUGUAUAUAAAAUAUGUGAAGACAACAAUACUAUAAAAUAUGAGAAUACAACCAAGAGUUAACAGGCUUUGGAAACCAGCAUAUAACAGGAAAGACGGAGACCAAAACAAAUAGAUUUAAAGCAACUUGGAGUUAACAGAGACUUGCGGAAAGAAGAAAACCUAAAUAUACAAACAAAAGAGCAUUAAUAUCUACAGAGAGAUGAGAGAUCAUACAACCGAAAACAGGAACAGGAUACAUACUAUAAAAAAGGAGCAUUCAGAUUACAAAGAGGAGCUUUGACAAAUGAAAAAUAUUAUAGUUAAAAAUGAAAACUCAAUAGAAGACUUUUGAGAGAAGAUUCAAACAAUUUUUGAAGAGUGAGAGGUUGAAUAGUGAUUAAACACAAAAAAAAUGAAGUAAAUGAAAACAGUUAUGACUCCAGGGAGAAGAAAAUGCUGUGCAGGAAAGAAAUAGUGCUUGUAGUUUGCUACAUGUCUCAGCUACAAAUAGAAUUCACAUCAUAGUAAUGUAUUAAUAUGCAAUAUUAAUUUAACUAAAAUUACCAUAUAACUCUGCUGGAGGAAAAGGGAAUGAGAAGACUAUGCAUAUGAGGAGAGGGAAGAAGAGGGGAAAAACCAGAGAUACAUAGUUUCAUCUUCUAAGGUGAGAAGUCAGUUAACAAUGCCAGAAACUGAAAAAUCAAGUAGUAGCAACGAAGAGUACUACUUAGAGUCAUGAAGCUAAAUGAUAACAUAAUCAGGUAAAACAGAUGAAAAUGGUUAAUUCUGGGGAGCAAAAACAGUUGAGGAGUAGGGGAGCAAUGCUAUGUUUCAUAGCAAAAACUGUAAACUAUUGGAUUCUUUAGAGGUUGUAUAUGAUUAACUUUAAUGAAAAUGAAAACGGGCCGGCCCCGUGGCCGAGUGGUUAAGCUCGCGCGCUCUGCUGCAGGCGGCCCAGGGU